rnacentral:tRNA from 1 species
GGCCUCGUAGCUCAGUUGGUUAGAGUGUUGUUGUCCUAAAGCCUUACCCUCGCUGAUGUGGGUUCAAAUCCAACCGAGGCCG